rnacentral:rRNA from 1 species
AGAGUUUGAUCAUGGCUCAGGACGAACGCUGGCGGCGUGCUUAACACAUGCAAGUCGAACGGUAAGGCUCUUCGGAGUACACGAGUGGCGAACGGGUGAGUAACACGUGAGCAACCUGCCCUUGACACUGGGAUAACAGUUGGAAACAGCUGCUAAUACCGGAUACGACCUUGAUCGGCAUCGAUCGAGGUGGAAAGUUCCGGCGGUCAAGGAUGGGCUCGCGGCCUAUCAGCUUGUUGGUGAGGUAACGGCUCACCAAGGCUUCGACGGGUAGCCGGCCUGAGAGGGCGACCGGCCACACUGGGACUGAGAUACGGCCCAGACUCCUACGGGAGGCAGCAGUGGGGAAUAUUGCGCAAUGGGCGAAAGCCUGACGCAGCAACGCCGCGUGCGGGAUGACGGCCUUCGGGUUGUAAACCGCUUUCAGCAGGGACGAAGCAACACGUGACGGUACCUGCAGAAGAAGCACCGGCCAACUACGUGCCAGCAGCCGCGGUGAUACGUAGGGUGCGAGCGUUGUCCGGAAUUAUUGGGCGUAAAGAGCUUGUAGGCGGUCUAUUGCGUCGAAAGUGAAAACUCAGGGCUCAACCCUGAGCCUGCUCUCGAUACGGGUAGACUUGAGGGAUGUAGGGGAGAACGGAAUUCUUGGUGGAGCGGUGGAAUGCGCAGAUAUCAGGAGGAACACCGGUGGCGAAGGCGGUUCUCUGGACAUUUCCUGACGCUGAGAAGCGAAAGCGUGGGUAGCAAACAGGCUUAGAUACCCUGGUAGUCCACGCCGUAAACGGUGGGUACUAGGUGUGGGGGACAUUCCACGUUCUCCGUGCCGCAGCUAACGCAUUAAGUACCCCGCCUGGGGAGUACGGCCGCAAGGCUAAAACUCAAAGGAAUUGACGGGGCCCCGCACAAGCGGCGGAGCAUGCGGAUUAAUUCGAUGCAACGCGAAGAACCUUACCUGGGUUUGACAUAUGCCGGAAAGGCCUAGAGAUAGGCCCCCCCUUGUGGUCGGUUUACAGGUGGUGCAUGGCUGUCGUCAGCUCGUGUCGUGAGAUGUUGGGUUAAGUCCCGCAACGAGCGCAACCCUCGUCCUAUGUUGCCAGCGGAUAAUGCCGGGGACUCGUAGGAUACUGCCGGGGUCAACUCGGAGGAAGGUGGGGAUGACGUCAAGUCUUCAUGCCCCUUAUGUCCAGGGCUUCACGCAUGCUACAAUGGCCAGUACAAAGGGCUGCAAACUCGCAAGGGUAAGCGAAUCCCAAAAAGCUGGUCUCAGUUCGGAUUGGGGUCUGCAACUCGACCCCAUGAAGUCGGAGUCGCUAGUAAUCGCAGAUCAGCAACGCUGCGGUGAAUACGUUCCCGGGGCUUGUACACACCGCCCGUCAAGUCAUGAAAGUCGGUAACACCCGAAGCCAGUGGCCCAACCCUUGUGGAGGGAGCUGUCGAAGGUGGGACCGGUAAUUAGGACUAAGUCGUAACAAGGUA